ACCAACAGGGAUUGCCUUAGUAACGGCGAGUGAAGCGGCAAUAGCUCAAAUUUGAAAUCUGGCUCUUUCAGGGUCCGAGUUGUAAUUUGCAGAGGGCGCUUUGGCGUCGGCAGCGGCCUAAGUUCCUUGGAACAGGUCAUCAUAGAGGGUGAGAAUCCCGUAUGUGGUCGACUGUCUUCACCGUGUAAAGCCCCUUCGACGAGUCGAGUUGUUUGGGAAUGCAGCUCUAAAUGGGAGGUAAAUUUCUUCUAAAGCUAAAUAUUGGCCAGAGACCGAUAGCGCACAAGUAGAGUGAUCGAAAGAUGAAAAGCACUUUGGAAAGAGAGUCAAAAAGCACGUGAAAUUGUUGAAAGGGAAGCGCUUGCAGCCAGACGUGCCUGUAGUUGCUCAUCUGGGGUUUUCCCCAGUGCACUCUUCUAUAGGCAGGCCAGCAUCAGUCCGGACGGUUGGAGAAAGACCUGUGUCAUGUAGCUGUUCUCGGGCAGUGUUAUAGGGCAGGUGGAAUGCAACCAGUCUGGACUGAGGUCCGCGCAUCUGCUAGGAUGCUGGCGUAAUGGCUGUAAGCGGCCCGUCUUGAAACACGGACCAAGGAGUCUAACAUCUAUGCGAGUGUUUGGGUGUCAAGCCCGAGCGCGUAAUGAAAGUGAACGGAGGUGGGAACCUUAGGGUGCACCAUCGACCGAUCCUGAUGUCUUCGGAUGGAUUUGAGUAAGAGCAUAGCUGUUGGGACCCGAAAGAUGGUGAACUAUGCCUGAAUAGGGUGAAGCCAGAGGAAACUCUGGUGGAGGCUCGCAGCGGUUCUGACGUGCAAAUCGAUCGUCAAAUUUGGGCAUAGGGGCGAAAGACUAAUCGAACU
rnacentral:rRNA from 1 species